GAGGAAUAUUGGUCAAUGGACGGAAGUCUGAACCAGCCAAGUAGCGUGCAGGAUGACGGCCCUAUGGGUUGUAAACUGCUUUUGUAUGGGGAUAAAGUUAGGGACGUGUCCCUAUUUGCAGGUACCAUACGAAUAAGGACCGGCUAAUUCCGUGCCAGCAGCCGCGGUAAUACGGAAGGUCCAGGCGUUAUCCGGAUUUAUUGGGUUUAAAGGGAGCGUAGGCUGGAGAUUAAGUGUGUUGCGAAAUGUAGACGCUCAACGUCUGAAUUGCAGCGCAUACUGGUUUCCUUGAGUACGCACAACGUUGGCGGAAUUCGUCGUGUAGCGGUGAAAUGCUUAGAUAUGACGAAGAACUCCGAUUGCGAAGGCAGCUGACGGGAGCGCAACUGACGCUUAAGCUCGAAGGUGCGGGUAUCAAACAGGAUUAGAUACCCUGGUAGUCCGCACAGUAAACGAUGGAUGCCCGCUGUUGGUACCUGGUAUCAGCGGCUAAGCGAAAGCAUUAAGCAUCCCACCUGGGGAGUACGCCGGCAACGGUG
rnacentral:rRNA from 1 species